rnacentral:tRNA from 1 species
CGCGGGGUGGAGCAGCACGGUAGCUCGUCGGGCGCACAACCCGAAGGACGCAGGUUCAAAUCCUGUCCCCGCAACCA